rnacentral:rRNA from 1 species
AGAGCGAACGCUGGCGGCAUGCUUAACACAUGCAAGUCGCACGGUCAGCAAUGGCAGUGGCGGACGGGUGAGUAACGCGUAGGUAUCUAUCCACGGGUGGGGGACAACGUCGGGAAACUGACGCUAAUACCGCAUGAUACCCGAGGGUCAAAGGCGCAAGUCGCCUGUGGAGGAGCCUGCGUACGAUUAGCUUGUUGGUGGGGUAAAGCCUACCAAGGCGACGAUCGUUAGCUGGUCUGAGAGGAUGAUCAGCCACAUUGGGACUGAGACACGGCCCAAACUCCUACGGGAGGCAGCAGUGGGGAAUAUUGGACAAUGGGCGAAAGCCUGAUCCAGCAAUGCCGCGUGUGUGAAGAAGGUCUUCGGAUUGUAAAGCACUUUCGGCGGGGACGAUGAUGACGGUACCCGCAGAAGAAGCCCCGGCUAACUUCGCGCCAGCAGCCGC